AGUGAACGCUGGCGGUAGGCCUAACACAUGCAAGUCGAACGGCAGCACAGAGGAGCUUGCUCCUUGGGUGGCGAGUGGCGGACGGGUGAGGAAUACAUCGGAAUCUACUCUGUCGUGGGGGAUAACGUAGGGAAACUUACGCUAAUACCGCAUACGACCUACGGGUGAAAGCAGGGGAUCUUCGGACCUUGCGCGAUUGAAUGAGCCGAUGUCGGAUUAGCUAGUUGGCGGGGUAAAGGCCCACCAAGGCGACGAUCCGCAGCUGGUCUGAGAGGAUGAUCAGCCACACUGGAGCUGAGACACGGUCCAGACUCCUACGGGAGGCAGCAGUGGGGAAUAUUGGACAAUGGGCGCAAGCCUGAUCCAGCCAUACCGCGUGGGUGAAGAAGGCCUUCGGGUUGUAAAGCCCUUUUGUUGGGAAAGAAAUCCAUCUGGUUAAUACCCGGGUGGGAUGACGGUACCCAAAGAAUAAGCACCGGCUAACUUCGUGCCAGCAGCCGCGGUAA
rnacentral:rRNA from 1 species